CCAAACUAUCAGGAAUUCGGCAGCGGAAUAACAACAUACAAUCUAAGGAAGAUCGAAACAAGCUCUCGAUACCAUGUUAGAAUCGGAGAUACAAAUCAAAGGAAUGAACAAUGGAGGCUACUAGGGUUUCAUAGAAUUACAUUACAAUAGCUUAGAAUACAAUGAGUUGUCUUAUGAAUAUAUAGAAAACAUAAAUAGACUAAAUUACUAUUAUGUCCAAAGCCCAAUUACAACCAAAAGCCCAUUAUAUUAUUAAAUCACUAACAUAUUAUCUAAC
rnacentral:lncRNA from 1 species